GAGAGUUUGAUCCUGGCUCAGAUUGAACGCUGGCGGCAGGCCUAACACAUGCAAGUCGAACGGUAGCACAGAGGAGCUUGCUCCUUGGGUGACGAGUGGCGGACGGGUGAGUAAUGUCUGGGAAACUGCCCGAUGGAGGGGGAUAACUACUGGAAACGGUAGCUAAUACCGCAUAACGUCGCAAGACCAAAGAGGGGGACCUUCGGGCCUCUUGCCAUCGGAUGUGCCCAGAUGGGAUUAGCUAGUAGGUGGGGUAACGGCUCACCUAGGCGACGAUCCCUAGCUGGUCUGAGAGGAUGACCAGCCACACUGGAACUGAGACACGGUCCAGACUCCUACGGGAGGCAGCAGUGGGGAAUAUUGCACAAUGGGCGCAAGCCUGAUGCAGCCAUGCCGCGUGUAUGAAGAAGGCCUUCGGGUUGUAAAGUACUUUCAGCGAGGAGGAAGGGGAUGUGGUUAAUAACCGCAUUCAUUGACGUUACUCGCAGAAGAAGCACCGGCUAACUCCGUGCCAGCAGCCGCGGUAAUACAAAA
rnacentral:rRNA from 1 species